rnacentral:rRNA from 1 species
AGUGAACGCUGGCGGCAGGCCUAAUACAUGCAAGUCGAACGGCAGCACAGCAGAGCUUGCUCUGUGGGUGGCGAGUGGCGGACGGGUGAGGAAUACGUGGGAAUCUGCCCAGUCGUGGGGGAUAACGUAGGGAAACUUACGCUAAUACCGCAUGCGCCCUUCGGGGAAAGCCGGGGACCUUCGGGCCUGGCGCGAUUGGAUGAGCCCACGUCGGAUUAGCUAGUUGGCGGGGUAAAGGCCCACCAAGGCGACGAUCCGUAGCUGGUCUGAGAGGAUGACCAGCCACACUGGAACUGAGACACGGUCCAGACUCCUACGGGAGGCAGCAGUAGGGAAUAUUGGGACAGUGGGCGCGAGCCUGAUCCAGCCAUGCCGCGUGAGUGAAGAAAGGCCCUCGGGUUGUAAAGACUCUUUUGUCCGGAAAGAAAAGACGCCGGGUUAAUACCCCUGGUGUCCUGACGGUACCGGAAGAAUAAGCACCGGCUAAACUUCGUGCCAGCAGCCGCGGU